GUGGGGAAUAUUGGGCAAUGGGCGAAAGCCUGACCCAGCAACGCCGCGUGAGGGAAGAAGGCCUUCGGGUUGUAAACCUCUGUCCUUGGUGACGAAGAAAGUGACGGUAGCCAAGGAGGAAGCCCCGGCUAACUACGUGCCAGCAGCCGCGGUAAUACGUAGGGGGCGAGCGUUGUCCGGAAUUACUGGGCGUAAAGGGUGCGUAGGUGGCCUUUUAAGUUGGAUGUGAAAUACCCGGGCUUAACUUGGGGGGUGCAUCUAAUACUGGGAGGCUAGAGUGCAGGAGAGGGAAGCGGAAUUCCUAGUGUAGCGGUGAAAUGCGUAGAUAUUAGGAGGAACACCAGUGGCGAAGGCGGCUUUCUGGACUGUAACUGACACUGAGGCACGAAAGCGUGGGGAGCAAACAGGAUUAGAUACCCUGGUAGUCC
rnacentral:rRNA from 1 species